CGGUAAAGAGCGGCGGACGGGUGAGUAACGCGUGGGUAACCUACCCUGUACACACGGAUAACAUACCGAAAGGUAUGCUAAUACGGGAUAAUAUAUUUGAGAGGCAUCUCUUGAAUAUCAAAGGUGAGCCAGUACAGGAUGGACCCGCGUCUGAUUAGCUAGUUGGUAAGGUAACGGCUUACCAAGGCGACGAUCAGUAGCCGACCUGAGAGGGUGAUCGGCCACAUUGGAACUGAGACACGGUCCAAACUCCUACGGGAGGCAGCAGUGGGGAAUAUUGCACAAUGGGCGAAAGCCUGAUGCAGCAACGCCGCGUGAGUGAUGAAGGCCUUCGGGUCGUAAAACUCUGUCCUCAAGGAAGAUAAUGACGGUACUUGAGGAGGAAGCCCCGGCUAACUACGUGCCAGCAGCCGCGGUAAUACGUAGGGGGCUAGCGUUAUCCGGAUUUACUGGGCGUAAAGGGUGCGUAGGCGGUCUUUCAAGUCAGGAGUGAAAGGCUACGGCUCAACCGUAGUAAGCUCUUGAAACUGGG
rnacentral:rRNA from 1 species